AGCAGCCGCGGUAAUUCCAGCUCCAAUAGCGUAUAUUAAAGUUGUUGCAGUUAAAAAGCUCGUAGUUGAAUUUCGGGGUCAGUAGGUCGGUCGUGCCACUGGUAUGAACUGGUUUUACUGAUUCCUCCCUCUUGAAGAACUGUAAUGCCAUUAAUUUGGUGUUGCAGGGAAUCAGGACUGUUACUUUGAAAAAAUUAGAGUGUUUAAAGCAGGCUUUAGCUUGAAUACAUUAGCAUGGAAUAAUGAAAUAGGACGUUUGAUCCUAUUUUGUUGGUUUCUAGGAUUGACGUAAUGAUUAAUAGGGAUAGUUGGGGGCAUUAGUAUUCAAUUGUCAGAGGUNAAAUUCUUGGAUUUUAUUGAAAGCUAAACUACUGCGAAAGCAUUUGCCAAGGAUGUUUUCAUUAUCAAGAACGAAAGUUAGGGAUCGAAGACGAUCAGAUACCGUCGUAGUCUUAACCAUAAACUAUGCCGACUAGGGAUCGGACGAUAGUUAAUUUUUAAUGUACUUCGUUACGGCGUC
rnacentral:rRNA from 1 species